UACAGAGGUCCCAAGCGUUGUUCGGAUUCACUGGGCGUAAAGGGUGCGUAGGCGGUCGGGUAAGUCUGAUGUGAAAUCUCCAAGCUUAACUUGGAAAUGGCAUCGGAUACUAUUCGGCUCGAGGAAUGGAGGGGAGACUGGAAUACUUGGUGUAGAGGUGAAAUUCGUAGAUAUCAAGCAGAACACCUGCGGCGAAGGCGGCCUUCUGGACGAUGACUGACGCUGAGACGCGAAAGCGUGGGGAGCAAACAGG
rnacentral:rRNA from 1 species